rnacentral:rRNA from 1 species
UACGUAGGGUGCAAGCGUUGUCCGGAAUUAUUGGGCGUAAAGAGCUCGUAGGCGGUCUGUCACGUCGGCUGUGAAAAACCCGAGGCUCAACCUCGGGCCUGCAGUCGAUACGGGCAAACUAGAGUACUGCAGGGGAGACUGGAAUUCCUGGUGUAGCGGUGAAAUGCGCAGAUAUCAGGAGGAACACCAAUGGCGAAGGCAGCACUCUGGGACGGUACUGACGCUGAGACGCGAAAGCGUGGGGAGCAAACAGG